GCAGUAGCCGCGGUAACACGUAGGGUGCAAGCGUUAAUCGGAAUUACUGGGCGUAAAGCGUGCGCAGGCGGUUAUAUAAGACAGAUGUGAAAUCCCCGGGCUCAACCUGGGAACUGCAUUUGUGACUGUAUAGCUAGAGUACGGCAGAGGGGGAUGGAAUUCCGCGUGUAGCAGUGAAAUGCGUAGAUAUGCGGAGGAACACCGAUGGCGAAGGCAAUCCCCUGGGCCUGUACUGACGCUCAUGCACGAAAGCGUGGGGAGCAAACAGGAUUAGAGACCCGCGUAGUCCCUGUCUCUUAUAC
rnacentral:rRNA from 1 species